UACAAAUCAUACUCCGCUGGUAUUGCAGUAAAAGCACACAUGGCAUGCGAUUCUUCUGCAAAAUGUAAACAUAUUGUUUAAAUAAUAGCUCAACUACACAGUAAUAUCAUAAAGUAGCUCUAUUCAGACAAAAUGUUCAAUCUGCUUAAAAUGUUCAAUUCAGGCAGGAAGGAGGUUCAUAAACAGGGCCGCCCUUGAACUGUGGUACAGAUGAAAGGAGUUGUGUAAAUAAAUCUUGCAGAUGUGUCUGUGCUGGAUUCCUUGAACAGUGACCCCAGGAACUGGACCCGGAGCCCAAAACAGAAACGCCAAGGACGUGAUGGCAUGGGGCAUGGUCAGUGAUGCAAGCCUGUAUUUAGCCAUAACAGACCAGCAGGGAGACGCCUAUCAACCACGCGAAAGAAGACGCCCUGCCCGUGUGGACACGCAAGUCUUCUACCACCCAGGCCUUCCACCACCUGGCAGUCACACAGUUUCUAGAGUCUGAUAAACAGAAAAAGGCACUGGAACUACGCCAUUGAGCCAAGAACGACAGUUCAAAGAAGACAGUCCAGAAGUUUUUGAUGUUCUCGUCUGUGGGCCUAUAUCCCUCAUAUAUAGCAUUCUGUUUCAAGGGGGAAAAAAAACAUUUUUGUGUACAUCACAGCACAUUUAGCCAAAUAAAAACAAUAGUAUUUUCGCUCAUUGAAUGCAGUGAAGAGGAGAUCCUCACCUUCUCCAGCUCCUC